CUUUAUAUCGCAGCUGCAGGUCUCUGAUGGGACAGCUGGAAGGGUGGGUUGUGGGCCCGGAGCAGGGCUGUCUGGUACCUGCUUGGUGCCAAGGCCACUUACUCACCUGAGAUGGGGCAUCUGUCAGCCAAGACAAAAUGGUGGAAAAGCUGAAAUUUAUGCCUUUGGAAUCUGAGGCAUUAACCGUUGUAAAUCAGCCUUUGGUGCCCAAAGGGCUGGAAGGCAUCCUGCUUUCAGGAACCACACGGGGACAACGGGGGCCCGAGGACGUGCCCAGGAUCACCUGGCAAGUCAGUGGCUCACUCAGCCAUGACCGUGAAGAAAAAUGUAGAGGCCUGCCCAGAGUGCUGAAUGCGGACCCUUUCCAUCUCUGGUGGGAUUCUGGCACCUCUUCUUCUGGGAUAUUGGUUUGUAGAAAGAACCCAUGAGGGAUUUGCAUUUGACGGGGCCUGUGUAAGAAUCUUAACUGCAUCGUUAGCUAACGAACAAGCUGUGAGGCCUUGUGAAAAUCGCAAAACCUCUUCCCUCCCUGUGUGCAAUGGACACCGUGGUUCCUGCUUGAGAUGGUUCUCUGAGGGUGGGUGCCCAGCUGUGCACGCAGAGAGGGCACCAGGCUGAGCGGCUGGCACAGGGUAGGUCUUCACAAAGUACUUUCUGGGUGAAUGGAAAAGAAAAGGUAUCUAUUGCUGUAAAAUAAGAGUGGGUAUCCUACCUUCCUGGGUCAGUUUAAGUCUCCCCCUGAAAUUUACUUGGAUGCAAGAAACCAAGGCCUUCCUGGUCUCUGGGAAGGCCUCCUGGCCCUGGGACAAAGCUCGGCUCAGAGAAGCUGCCAUGCUGCUUCCGGCGCACGGCGCAGCGCCCAGCAGGCGGUCGGCUUCCCACGCUCCACAUCUCCCGGCCCUGAACCUCGCUUCCAGCUCACAGCAACUGCACCAGCCCGAUGAACAGAGAGCAUUACCCCUUGUUUGUUCGUUUUCAUUGUGGUAAACUAUACGUAAUAUAAAAUUUACCGUUUCUGUCCGUUUUGAAGUGCUCAGUUCAGUGAGAUGAAGUACCUUCACGUUGUUUUACAAUCACCACCUCUAUCCAUCUCCACACCGUUUGCAUCACCCCUGUACCCAUGAAGUAAUAACUCCUCCUCUCCCUUCACCCAGCCUUGGUAACCUCUGAUAUUUCCUGUUCCUGUGACCUUGACUGUUCUAGGUAACCUCACGUAUGUGGAAUCAUACAAUACGUGUCCUUUUGUGUUUGGCUUGUUUCACUUAGGAUUAUGUCUUCGGGUUCAUCUGUGUUGUGGCAUGUGUCAGAAUUUCAUUUGUUUUCAAGGCUGAAUAAGAUUUCAUCGUUUGUGUGUAGCACAUUCUGCUUAUGCAUUCGUCCGUCAACAAUCAUUCGCAUUGUUUCCAUGCUUUGGCUAUUGUGAAUAAUUCCACCAUGAAUGUACGUGUGCCGUGUCUGUUUAAGCCCCUGCUUUCAAUUUUUUGGGUAUAUACCUGGAAGUGGAAUUCCUGGAUUUGUGGUCAUUCUACAUUAAAUGUUUUGAGGCACCAUCAUACUAACCCUUUGUAAAACGUUCCCAGUGGAAAGGCAGUGCUGCAGGGGUGCUAUCUGAUGAGACUACCACCCCCACUCUGGGCCUUUCCAACGUUAGGGCUGGGGCUGGGAGUGGACUGGGAGGAUCCUGGAGCUGGCACAGGGGACCCCUUGGCGAUUCAGCACUGCCCUCCAUCAACCGGGACCACUUUUACACCAAACCCCGGGAGAAAGGAAGCAUGAGCUCUGUUCACCACGGAUGGACAGAGAUUGUUUUGGUUCUUGUGAGUCAACAACAGCUAAACCCCCCACCCCACGUAUGUACACACAAACUCCAAAUUUGGUUCAGGAAAGUGACUUAAGAAGUUUUAAGGGGUUGUGAUUAAACUCUUGGGCUUUGGUGCCAGUUCAAAUUCUGGUUUACAACAAGCACCUACGGUAUAGCAGAGGGAACUAUAUUCAAUAUCUUGUAAUAACCUGUA